rnacentral:rRNA from 1 species
GACGAACGCUGGCGGCGUGCUUAACACAUGCAAGUCGAACGGAAAGGCCCUGCUUUUGUGGGGUGCUCGAGUGGCGAACGGGUGAGUAACACGUGAGUAACCUGCCCUUGACUUUGGGAUAACUUCAGGAAACUGGGGCUAAUACCGGAUAGGAGCUCCUGCUGCAUGGUGGGGGUUGGAAAGUUUCGGCGGUUGGGGAUGGACUCGCGGCUUAUCAGCUUGUUGGGGGGGUAGUGGCUUACCAAGGCUUUGACGGGUAGCCGGCCUGAGAGGGGGACCGGCGCCCAGGGUCCUGCGAUAGGGCCCAGUCGGGUACGUGAGGCAAUGGUGGGGAAUAUUGCACAGUGGGCCGAAGUCUGAUGCAGCGACGCCGCGUUCGUGAUGACCUCCUUCGGGUUGUAAACCGCUUUCGCCUGUGACGAAGCGUGAGUGACGGUAACGGGUAAAGAAGCACCGGCUAACUACGUG